CUGUCAUAUCACGUGUGAAACACUAAUUCUCGUCCGAUCACUGAAGUUAAGCAACGUCGAGCCUAGUCAAUACCUGGAUGAGUGCUCGUUUGGGAAUACUAGAUGCUGUAAG